UACGAAGGGGGCUAGCGUUGCUCGGAAUCACUGGGCGUAAAGCGCACGUAGGCGGCUUUCUAAGUCAGGGGUGAAAUCCUGGAGCUCAACUCCAGAACUGCCUUUGAUACUGGAGAGCUUGAGUCCGGGAGAGGUGAGUGGAACUCCGAGUGUAGAGGUGAAAUUCGUAGAUAUUCGCAAGAACACCAGUGGCGAAGGCGGCUCACUGGCCCGAUACUGACGCUGAGGCACGAAAGCGUGGGGAGCAAACAGGA
rnacentral:rRNA from 1 species